GAUGAACGCUGGCGGCGUGCUUAACACAUGCAAGUCGAACGGAAAGGCCCAAGCUUGCUUGGGUACUCGAGUGGCGAACGGGUGAGUAACACGUGGGUGAUCUGCCCUGCACUUCGGGAUAAGCCUGGGAAACUGGGUCUAAUACUGGAUAGGACCACUUCUUGGAUGGUGUGGUGGAAAGUUUUUUCGGUGUGGGAUGAGCUCGCGGCCUAUCAGCUUGUUGGUGGGGUAAUGGCCUACCAAGGCGUCGACGGGUAGCCGGCCUGGGAGGGUGUACGGCCACAUUGGGACUGAGAGACGGCCCAGACUCCGACGGGAGGCAGCAGGGGGGAAUAUUGCACAAUGGGCGCAAGCCUGAUGCAGCGACGCCGCGUGGGGGAUGACGGCCUUCGGGUUGUAAACUCCUGUCGCUAGGGACGAAGCGUUUUUGUGACGGUACCUGGAGAAGAAGCACCGGCUAACUACGUG
rnacentral:rRNA from 1 species